AAGAGGAAACCGUACGGGGAGAUGACGUGGGAGACAGUGGGGCGAGGCUGGGGCAUGAAACUACCGAGGCCUAAAGCCGCAGGCGAAUCAGAAGAGAAAUGGGCUGCAGCGCUGCUGGCUGCCACUAGGGGCCACUGGACAGGGCAGAGCCCCGCUCACACGCAGAAGACACUGCCAGAGGGAUUCCUGGCAGCUGCAGUUCCCAGCAGGCACUGAACGAAGGAGGCGGUGGCAGCACGCAGAUCGGCUGUUGCUAUUUUCAUUUUACACAUAAGGAACCUGAAGCACAAAGUUCUGCAAGGUCAUUCAAAGCUUCUCAGAUGUGUGCUCUAACACUAGACCCUACUGCCUUCCAUGACACGGAGUGGUAUAAUGGAUUGAUCAGCUCUCACUGGGGAUAUAUGUAUUUAGAGUGUUCACGUAUAUUUAAUUGCUCUUCCAGGUACAGUAUAUGAUAUGAAAUUAGCAUGGCGUUUUUCCUUCCUUAUAUGUGUAAUGACACGAGUUAUGCCAGCAGAGUUCUAAGAAUGUUUAUUAGGAGUGGUUGCUGCUGGAGCAGAGGAGAAAGCUCAGACAUUUUUGUUACCUUUAUGAUUUAAAAAAUAUUCACUGUCCUGGUGACUAAAUUGUAAAAAAGAAAUCUUUAGUAUCCAGAGGAUAUUGCCCAACAUAUGUCAUUUUAAAGUGGAUGAAAUUUUGGGCCCAUAUUACUUGCUAAUUUUAUGAUGUUCAGGGUCUUUAGCUUACUUCUGAUGCUUACUCAAUAAAGACCUGAUCCUGCAAGGUACUGAGGACUUCUUGUGACUUUACUGUGAGUUGAGGGUUCUCAGAAGAACCCAGGAAGUGCUCCGUAUUGUGCAGAAGAGCAGAGGCAUGUUUUGCCAGAACAUGUCUUUUCCUAGAUUAUGCAGUUUAUUAAUGUCAAGAAUAAAUUCAGGAAUUGGUAGGUUAAUGGAUCCCUUUUCUUUUGAGA